AUGGACAAUCUUGAUUGGUUAGGCCUUCGUGUCUAUUACAAUGGUGAAUUUGAAUAUUCAGAGAAGUGUUGCUCUUACGUUGGUGGUUUUGUUGAGGUCACUUUUAUGCAGAGGGACAAGUUGUCCUUAGCAUCUGUCAGGGAGCAGAUUGCAGACAUAAAGAUGACAUACCAUGGUGAGUCUUUGACAGACAAUCAUAGGCUCUACUGGCUGUUUCCUGGAAUGAAUGUUAGAGAUGGGCUGAGAAGGUUAGAGACUGAUGCAAAUGUGUAUUUUAUGGAGAGAUGCAUUACAGAUGGUGGUGUUGUGGACAUAUAUGUGAACUUGGAAACUGAAGGUGGAGAAGAACAAAAUGAAGGAAAUGUAGAAGAGCAACAAGAGAACACUGAAAAUCCUGGAACUGAAAGUCAACAAGAGCACACUGACAGUGAUUGGCAGACAGAGCAUGAGGAGGACCUAGAUGAUUGCUCUGAUGAGGCUGCGGAUGAGCAUGAGCAUGAGGAUGCUGCUGGAACUGCAGCAAAUGUGAAACCUGAAGGUGGAGAAGAGAUCAAUGCAGAAAAUAAAGAAGAGGUUGCUGCUGAUGAAUGUGAAGACCUGGAUUGGUGUCCUGGAGAUGCAGAUAGUUCAGGGGAAGAUGAUGAAGCAGAGGAGCUGAGAAAGCAUGCUAAGGAAGUGCUUAGAAAGAUAAGGAUGAACUUGCCACUUGAUGAAGAGAAGGAGAUCAAGGAAAAUACAGCACAGUUAAUCCUUGUAGAUGAAAUGGAUGAGGGAAAUGACACUCCUUACAUGGAUUCCAGUGAGGAGUACAGUUAUGAUGAGGAUGAGUUUGGAAAUUUCAUUAGGAGGGAAUCAAGAUUUCCAAGAUUUGAUAGCAAGGCUGCAAUUCCUGUCUUUUGCCUUGGCAUGGUAUUUAGGGGGAGAAAACAGUUCAAGAAUGCUGUUGUGAAAUAUGGUCUAGCAAUGAGGAGACAAAUUACCUUCAUAAAGGAUGAGGCUAAUAGGAUUAGAGCAAAAUGCUCUUGGCCUGAGUGUCCAUGGUUGAUAUAUGCUGGACAUGUGAGCUCUAAUGACUGGUUUCAAGUGAUCACAUUUGUAGACAACCACAUAUGCCCCCAGAGGAGAGACAACAGAUUGGUUACUGCAGCUAGAAUAGCAGAUAAGUAUGAGAGAAUUAUGAAGGCCAAUCCUGGAUGGAAAAUCAAAUCUAUCAAGGAAACUGUCAGGUUGGAGAUGUUUGCAGAUGUGCAUGUCUCCAAGAUAAAGAAAGCAAAGGCAAUUGUGAGAAGAAGAGUUAGAGAAGCAAUGCAUGAAGAAUAUGCUAGGGUUUUUGAUUAUCAACUAGAAAUAUUGAGGAGCAAUCCAGGUAGCACCGUUGCAGUAGUGCUAAAUCCAAAGGAAAGUGCCCCUGUUUUUCAGAGAUUAUAUGUGUGUUUCCAUGCCUGCAAAAGAGGUUUCAUAGAAGGUUGCAGGAAAGUUGUAGGAUUGGAUGGUUGCUUCUUUAAAGGAGCCCAGAGUGGAGAACUGUUGUGUGCUCUUUGGAGAGAUGCCAAUGGGCAAAUGUAUCCAAUAGCCUGGGCUGCUGUAGAGGUUGAGAACAAAGACUCUUGGUUCUGGUUUAUGGCUCUGCUAAACAAAGACUUGGAAAUUGAAAAUCAAGGAGAAGGGUGGGUCUUUAUAUCAGAUCAACAAAAAGGCCUCAUCAAUGCUGUGUCCAAGGUUGUUUCAAAUGCUGAGCAUAGGAAUUGUGCUAGGCAUAUCUAUGCUAAUUGGAAGAAAAAGCAUAGAGAUCAAGCAUAUCAGAAAAGAUUUUGGGCUUGUGCAAAAUCUUCAAACAGGAUACACUUCAACUUGAACAGGGCCAAACUUGCUCAACUCACACCAGAUGGAGCAAGAGACAUGAUGCAAUCAGGCCCAGAACAUUGGUGUAGAGCUUGGUUCAAAGAAGGUUCAUGUUGUGAUUCUGUGGAUAAUAACAUGUGUGAGAGUUUUAACAACUGGAUAGUAGAGUACAGAGGGUUGCCUAUUAUCAGCAUGUUUGAAGCAAUUAGAGCAAAGGUCACUAAAAGAAUUCAAGUAAACAGAGCAAUGCCUGCAAAAUGGAAUGGAACUAUUUGUCCUAAAAUUAUAAAAAAGGUCAACAAGCUGAUACAGCUUACUGAGAAGUGUGAGACAAUAUGGAAUGGAAAAGAUGGAUAUGAGGUGAAACUAGGGAAGCAUGGUUUCAAAGUUGACAUGGAAGCUAAAAUAUGUUCAUGUAGAUAUUGGCAACUGUCUGGAAUUCCAUGUGUUCAUGCUCUUGCAGCAACUCAAUGUGGUCCUGAUGACAUUGUUUCACUCAUUGCAAGCUGCUACACAAUUGAAGCUUACAACAGGACUUAUGAGCAUUGCUUGAUGCCAAUGGAAGGCAUGCCUAGCUGGCCUGUGUCUGACAGACCAAGGCUAGCUGUUCCAGGCUAUGUGCAAAUGCCUGGGAGACCUAGGACUGAGAGAAGAAGAGGUGCAGAUGAGCCUCCAAAACAUCCACACAAGCUUUCAAAAAUUGGAAGAAAAGGUAAGUGCAGUCUGUGUGGACAACCUGGGCACAACAUGAGAAAGUGCACAAGUAAUCCCAACAGGGGGAAAUACAAGAAUAAGAAGAGAAAGAAAGAGACAAAGCAAAAUGAACCAAGAACAUCACAGAGAGUCACUAAGGGAACAUCUACAGGGGACAGGGCACAAUCUUCACAACAGGGCACCCAGCAACAUUCUUCACAUCAAGGCACACAACACCAAUCUUCACAGCAGGGCACCCAAACCAAACCUACAAGUGGAAGGGCCCCUAAACAAGUCAACAAAACUGCACCUAAAGAUAAAAUGUGCAAGAGACCAGGAGCAACUUCUAGGCAGAGGAGGACCGUGAGCAUGUUUGAUGAACUUAGGAGUUAG
rnacentral:rRNA from 1 species